CGAGAGGACCGGGAUGGACAUACCUCUGGUGUACCAGUUGUCGUGCCAACGGCAUAGCUGGGUAGCUAUGUGUGGACGGGAUAAGUGCUGAAAGCAUCUAAGCAUGAAGCCCCCCUCAAGAUGAGAUUUCCCAACUUCGGUUAUAAGAUCCCUCAAAGAUGAUGAGGUUAAUAGGUUCGAGGUGGAAGCAUGGUGACAUGUGGAGCUGACGAAUACUAAUCGAUCGAAGACUUAAUCAAAA
rnacentral:rRNA from 1 species